UAGUCUCUAACUUCUGUGACAACCAGAAGAGCAAGUGGAAUACACAUACACAUACGAGACUGGGAGAACACUACUUUGGCAGUCUGUUGCUCAGAUUUAAAGUAGUCUGCGGUUUUUCUUAUUCUGUGGUGUUUGAAUGUAAGAUGUACAUGCAUUGAGGUUGAUGUUUUUUUUGAAGGACUUUCUUUUUAACAAACAUCCAUAAUUAUUUAAACCUUUGUUGUUUGGUGAUUUACACUCAUUUAAAUUUCCUUCACAGCUUUCUUAUCAUUAAUUUCACCUGUCGAAGACUGCAGUUUGGCCAAUUGAAAGCUCAUGGUUUCUGAAACACUUUAGCGAGAGAUCAUUUUUUACGUUUUAACUAUGUUUUUGUUUUGUUUACAGGGAUCCCUAGCAAAACAGCCCUUCUUGGCACUGGCCUGCUCUCAGCCAUUUCAGGAAAUGAUUCAAGUGAAUCCUCUCUUUCAAGUUCGCCACCAGACAGUGUGUUAUUAAAUGGGAAAAUGAGCUUAAAUGGGUCUCCACUAUCCAUCUCCACUGAAGCCAUUGCAAGAGCAGCUCAGUUUCCUACCGUCCAGAGUAAGAUUGGCUU